CCUACGGGGGGCAGCAGUGGGGAAUAUUGGUCAAUGGCCGUAAGGCUGAACCAGCCAAGUCGCGUGAAGGAGGAAGGUUCUCUGGUUUGUAAACUUCUUUUAUAGGGGAAUAAAGUUCUCCACGGGUGGAUAUUUUCAUGUACCCUAUGAAUAAGCAUCGGCUAACUCCGUGCCAGCAGCCGCGGUAAUACGGAGGAUGCGAGCGUUAUCCGGAUUUAUUGGGUUUAAAGGGUGCGUAGGUUGUUUUUUAAGUCAGCGGUGAAAGUUUGUGGCUCAACCAUAAAAUUGCCGUUGAAACUGGAAGACUGGAGUGGGUUUGAGGUAGGCGGAAUGCGUGGUGUAGCGGUGAAAUGCAUAGAUAUCACGCAGAACUCCGAUUGCGAAGGCAGCUUACUAAGCCAUAACUGACACUGAAGCACGAAAGCGUGGGGAUCAAACAGGAUUAGAUACCCCUGUAGUC
rnacentral:rRNA from 1 species